CUGUCACUUGCUGCGGGCAGAUGUAGUGGAUGUGUGCGUCCACCGCCCCUGCGGUCACGAUUAGCUUCUCGCCUGCGAUGACCUCCGUCGCGGAACCGAUGAUGAGGUCAGGGUGCACAUUUGCCAUGACAUCGGGGUUUCCGGCUUUGCCUAUGCCCACGAUCUUACCGUACUUAACGCCGAUGUCCGCCUGCGCGACAAGUGAGUAGGUUUGUGCCCUCAAUGAUUCACGGAGUGCCGAGCACCUUGUAGAUUCCGCUCCAAUCCACAAUCAAUGCGUUGGUGAUGACUAGAUCCAACGUCUCCUGCUCGGAUCGGUUGGUUGCCUGCCCCAUCCCCUCUCUG
rfam:Postia placenta Mad-698-R POSPLscaffold_61_Cont3423, whole genome shotgun sequence.